AGAGUUUGAUCAUGGCUCAGGAUGAACCCUGGCAGGCGUGCCUAAUACAUGUAAGUCGAACGGAAGAUGUAGCAAUAUGUCUUUAGUGGCGAACGGGUGAGUAACGCGUUGGUGACCUGCCCCGAAGAGAGGGAUAACAGACCGAAAGGUUUGCUAAUACCGCGUAAUUUCCUUCUAGUUAGAGAGGAGGGAAGAAAGGCCGAAAGGCGCUUUGGGAGGGGCCUGCGUCCCAUCAGCUAGUUGGCGAGGUAAAAGCUCACCAAGGCGAUGACGGGUAGGGGACCUGAGAGGGUGACCCCCCACAAUGGAACUGAAACACGGUCCAUACACCUACGGGUGGCAGCAGUAGGGAAUAUUGGUUAAUGGGCGAAAGCCCGACCCAGCAACGCCGCGUGCACGAAGAAGGCCUUCGGGUUGUAAAGUGCUUUUUAGUGGGAUGAGGAAGGACAGUACCACUAGAAUAAGUCUCGGCUAACUACGUGCCAGCAGCCGCGGUAACACGUAGGAGACGAGCGUUAUCCGGAUUUACUGGGUGUAAAGCGCGUGCAGGCGGUCGGGUAAGUUGGAUGUGAAAGCUCCUGGCUUAACUGGGGGAGGUCGUUCAAAACUGCCGGGCUAGAGUGCAACAGAGGGGGGUGGAAUUCCGAGUGUAGCGGUAAAAUGCAUAGAUAUUCGGAAGAACACCAGUGGCGAAGGCGGCUCUCUGGGUUGCAACUGACGCUCAGACGCGAAAGCUAGGGUAGCGAACGGGAUUAGAGACCCCGGUAGUCCUAGCCGUAAACGAUGUGGACUUGGCGUGGGUGGGUUGAAAUCCAUCUGUGCCGAAGCAAACGCGAUAAGUCCACCACCUGGGGACUACGGGCCGCAAGGUUAAAACUCAAAGGAAUUG
rnacentral:rRNA from 1 species